rnacentral:rRNA from 1 species
GACGAACGCUGGCGGCGUGCCUAACACAUGCAAGUUGAGCGACGAACCAGGGCUUGCCCUGGGGCAAAGCAGCGAACGGGUGAGUAACACGUGGGUAACCUACCCCGAUAACCGGGACAACCCGAGGAAACUCGGGCUAAUACCGGAUGUGCUCACUGGACUUCGGUUCAGUGCGUAAAGGAAGCUUCGGCCUCCGUAUCGGGAGGGGCCCGCGGCCCAUUAGUUUGUUGGUGGGGUAACGGCCCACCAAGACCGCGAUGGGUAGCUGGUCUGAGAGGACGAUCAGCCACACUGGGACUGAGACACGGCCCAGACUCCUACGGGAGGCAGCAGUGGGGAAUCUUGCGCAAUGCGCGAAAGCGUGACGCAGCAACGCCGCGUGGGGGAAGAAGGCCUUCGGGUUGUAAACCCCUUUCAGGAGGGACGAAGGUUCGGCGGUGAAUAGCCGUCCGGACUGACGGUACCUCCACAAGAAGCCCCGGCUAACUACGUG